UACGGGGGGGGCAAGCGUUGUUCGGAAUUACUGGGCGUAAAGGGCUCGUAGGUGGCCAACUAAGUCAGACGUGAAAUCCCUCGGCUUAACCGGGGAACUGCGUCUGAUACUGGAUGGCUUGAGUUCGGGAGAGGGAGGCGGAAUUCCAGGUGUAGCGGUGAAAUGCGUAGAUAUCUGGAGGAACACCGGUGGCGAAGGCGGCAUCCUGGACCGACACUGACGCUGAGGAGCGAAAGCCAGGGGAGCAAACGGG
rnacentral:rRNA from 1 species